GAUGAACGCUGGCGGCGUGCCUAAUACAUGCAAGUCGAGCGAACAGACGAGGAGCUUGCUCCUCUGACGUUAGCGGCGGACGGGUGAGUAACACGUGGAUAACCUACCUAUAAGACUGGGAUAACUUCGGGAAACCGGAGCUAAUACCGGAUAAUAUAUUGAACCGCAUGGUUCAAUAGUGAAAGACGGUUUUGCUGUCACUUAUAGAUGGAUCCGCGCCGCAUUAGCUAGUUGGUAAGGUAACGGCUUACCAAGGCAACGAUGCGUAGCCGACCUGAGAGGGGGAUCGGCCCCCCUGGAACUGAGACACGGUCCAGACUCCCACGGGGGGCAGCCGUAGGGAAUCUUCCGCAAUGGGCGAAAGCCUGACGGAGCAACGCCGCGUGAGUGAUGAAGGUCUUCGGAUCGUAAAACUCUGUUAUUAGGGAAGAACAAAUGUGUAAGUAACUAUGCACGUCUUGACGGUACCUAAUCAGAAAGCCACGGCUAACUACGUG
rnacentral:rRNA from 1 species